CCGCAGGAAGAGAAAACAACAGUGAUUCCCCCAGUAGUGGCGAGCGACCGGGGAAUAGCCCAAACCGUCGGCGUUUCGGCGCCGGCGGGGUAGUAGGGCCGCAAUGUCGCACAAGCACCGUUAAGCGGAACGGACUGGAACGUCCGGCCAUAGCGGGUGAAAGCCCCUUACGCGCCGUCGGUGCUGGCGUAGCGGUUCCCUGAGUAGCGCGGGGCACGAGAAACCCUGUGCGAAUCCGCCGGGACCAUCCGGCAAGGCUAAAUACUCCCUUGAGACCGAUAGUGAACAAGUACCGUGAGGGAAAGGUGGGAAGCACCCCGUCGAGGGGAGUGAAACAGACCCUGAAACCAUGCGCCUACAAGCGGUCGGAGCACGCUUAUGCGUGUGACGGCGUGCCUUUUGCAUAAUGAACCUACGAGUUGCCGUCGCCGGCGAGGUUAACCGUGAUGACGCGGGGAGCCGCAGUGAGAGCGAGCCUGAAGAGGGCGUACAGUCGGCGGUGGCAGACGCGAAACCAAGUGAUCUACACUUGGCCAGGGUGAAGUCCCGGUAACGCGGGAUGGAGGCCCGAACCGAUAAGCGUUGAAAAGCUUCCGGAUGAGCCGAGUGUAGGAGUGAAAGGCCAAUCAAACUUGGAGAUAGCUCGUACUCCCCGAAAGGCAUUUAGGUGCCGCGUGGGGUGUUCCGGGCGCGAGGUAGAGCGACCGAUAGGACGCGAGGGCUUCACCGCCUGUCAAGUCCUGACGAACUCCGAAUGCGCGUCCGCAGAAGCCCUGCAGUAAGGGGGCGGGUGCUAAGGUCCGCCCCCGAGAGGAGAAGAAUCCAGACCGCCGUCUAAGGCCCCGGAAUUCUGCCUGAGUUAGUCUAACGAAGUGUGCCCCCUGGGACAGCCAGGAUGUUGGCUUGGAAGCAGCCAUUCAUUCAAAGAGUGCGUAACAGCUCACUGGUCGAGGGGGCUCGCGUGGAUAAUAAUCGGGUAUAAGGCAGAUGCCGAAGGCGCGGGAUAUCGAAAGAACGUAUCGGUAGGGGAGCAUUCCAGGUGCGCAGAAUGCAAGGGGCGACCCAUGCUGGAGCGCCUGGAAAGGCAAAUGUAGGUAUGAGUAACGACAAGGGGGGCGCGAACCCCCCCCGCCGCAAGGCCAAGGUUUCCCGGGCGAUGCCAGUCAUCCCGGGGUAAGUCGGGCCCUAAGCCUAAGCCGAAUGGCGAUGGCGAUGGCAGACACGGUUGAGAUUCCGUGACUGCCCGUGCGGGCGAUGCGGCAACGGAGAAGUGACACCGCCGCGCGCAGACGGAACUGCGCGUUGAAGGGUGUAGGCGUCGAGGGGCGCAGUUAAGCACACGCCCCGAGCCGAACCUGAAAGUACGGCGCUCCAUUCGUGGAGGGCCGAGAGUGCGGGUAAUCCGGCUCCCAAGAAACCCCGCUAAGCUUAACCGCACGGGCACCCGUACCGCAAACGGACACACGUGGCCGGGUAGAGCAUACCAAGGCGUUGAGAGACUCAUGGUCAAGGAACUAGGCAAACCAGCCCCGUAACUUCGGGAGAAGGGGUCCUCCCCCCGUGGGAGGCGCAGCGAACAGGCCCAGGCAACUGUUUACCAAAAACACAGGGCUGUGCAAACUCGAGAGAUGAAGUAUACAGCCUGACACCUGCCCGGUGCCGGAAGGUUAAGAGGAGGCGUCACCGCAAGGGAAGCGCCGAGUUGAAGCCCCGGUAAACGGCGGCCGUAACUAUAACGGUCCUAAGGUAGCGAAAUUCCUUGUCGGGUAAGUUCCGACCUGCACGAAUGGUGUAAUGAUCCGGGCGCUGUCUCGACCAUGAUCUCAGUGAAAUUGUAGUAUCGGUGAAGAUGCCGAUUACCCGCGAUGGGACGAAAAGACCCCGUGAACCUUUACUGCAGCUUAGCGCUGACCUUGGCCAUCGGAUGUGUAGGAUAGGCCGGAGGCAAUGAAGGCGCCACGCCAGUGGUGCCGGAGCCGCCGUUGAAAUACGGCCCUUCCGCUGUCCGGGGUCUAACGCGCGAUGCGCGGACACCGCUUGGCGGGCAGUUUGACUGGGGUGGUCGCCUCCAAAAGCGUAACGGAGGCUUCCAAAGGUGCCCUCAGGCCGAUUGGCAACCGGCCUAAAUGAGUGCAAUGGCAAAAGGGCGCUUGACUGGGAGGGGGACACCCCGAGCAGGCAGGAAACUGGGGCAUAGUGAUCCGGCGGUUCCGCAUGGAAGGGCCGUCGCUCAA
rnacentral:rRNA from 1 species